ACACUACUGAAGAGUCCUAUACUAGGACGAAAUGUUCAUCCCGUGU
rnacentral:hammerhead_ribozyme from 1 species